rnacentral:pre_miRNA from 1 species
GACAGUUUGGGCAUACUUUCUUAUGGACCGCCGAGGUGUGUCUAUUCGUUAACAGCUAGGCCGUCCAUGAGGUCGUAGGCACCCAGUAAU